rnacentral:rRNA from 1 species
GACGAGCGCUGGCGGCGCGCCUAACACAUGCAAGUCGAACGAGCGAGAGAGAGCUUGCUUUCUCGAGCGAGUGGCGAACGGGUGAGUAACGCGUGAGGAACCUGCCUCAAAGAGGGGGACAACAGUUGGAAACGACUGCUAAUACCGCAUAAGCCCACGGUGCCGCAUGGCACAGAGGGGAAAGGAGCAAUCCGCUUUGAGAUGGCCUCGCGUCCGAUUAGCUGGUUGGUGAGGUAAUGGCCCACCAAGGCGACGAUCGGUAGCCGGACUGAGAGGUUGAACGGCCACAUUGGGACUGAGACACGGCCCAGACUCCUACGGGAGGCAGCAGUGGGGAAUAUUGCACAAUGGGGGAAACCCUGAUGCAGCGACGCCGCGUGGAGGAAGAAGGUCUUCGGAUUGUAAACUCCUGUUGUUGAGGAAGAUAAUGACGGUACUCAACAAGGAAGUGACGGCUAACUACGUGCCAGCAGCCGCGGUAAAACGUAGGUCACAAGCGUUGUCCGGAAUUACUGGGUGUAAAGGGAGCGCAGGCGGGAAGACAAGUUGGAAGUGAAAUCCAUGGGCUCAACCCAUGAACUGCUUUCAAAACUGUUUUUCUUGAGUAGUGCAGAGGUAGGCGGAAUUCCCGGUGUAGCGGUGGAAUGCGUAGAUAUCGGGAGGAACACCAGUGGCGAAGGCGGCCUACUGGGCACCAACUGACGCUGAGGCUCGAAAGUGUGGGUAGCAAACAGGAUUAGAUACCCUGGUAGUCCACACUGUAAACGAUGAUUACUAGGUGUUGGAGGAUUGACCCCUUCAGUGCCGCAGUUAACACAAUAAGUAAUCCACCUGGGGAGUACGACCGCAAGGUUGAAACUCAAAGGAAUUGACGGGGGCCCGCACAAGCAGUGGAGUAUGUGGUUUAAUUCGACGCAACGCGAAGAACCUUACCAAGUCUUGACAUCCUGCGACGGUGCUGGAAACAGUACUUUCCUUCGGGACGCAGAGACAGGUGGCGCAUGGUUGUCGUCAGCUCGUGUCGUGAGAUGUUGGGUUAAGUCCCGCAACGAGCGCAACCCUUAUGGUCAGUUACUACGCAAGAGGACUCUGGCCAGACUGCCGUUGACAAAACGGAGGAAGGUGGGGAUGACGUCAAAUCAUCAUGCCCUUUAUGACUUGGGCUACACACGUACUACAAUGGCGUUAAACAAAGAGAAGCAAGACCGCGAGGUGGAGCAAAACUCAGAAACAACGUCCCAGUUCGGACUGCAGGCUGCAACUCGCCUGCACGAAGUCGGAAUUGCUAGUAAUCGCAGAUCAGCAUGCUGCGGUGAAUACGUUCCCGGGCCUUGCACA